ACAAAUGCCGCUAACGUGCACCUCCUCGGGAGGUGAGGCAAGAAGCUGUCCAGAGCCUAGAAAUAAAUGGCUUUUGAACAGAAGAAUAAUGUCCUGUCUGGAAGAGGAAGUCUCAGGAAGUCAAUGGGAGCUGGGAAGCCAAAGGCCACGCAGCAGCUACAGGGGUUUUCUGCUGUGAUGGCCACUCUGCAGGUCGGGCACUGGCUGUUCUUCUCCAGCCAAACUUUAAUGCAGGUGUUGCAGAACACGUGGUUGUUGCAACAAAUGACCGGAUGACGCACCUUUGAUGCAAUAGAGCAAAGCAACAGGGAUUGCUUUCAUUCCGGGAGACGCAGUAGAAGCCGUCCGCCCGGCCCGGCUCGGGCACUCCUCUCUCGCCCCUGCACGGAGCUCAUCUCGGCUCCUGUGUCCCGACCCUCUGAUUUAUCUUCUACCGGCUCAGUGGCCUACGACGGUCCGAUGCCCCGGAGCCAAAGAGAUCUACGACCGUUUGCGCGCCGAAAG